rnacentral:lncRNA from 1 species
CUUGGGAUAAUUUAUAACUUUUUAUCUAAAUCUCUAUUUUCAAAUUUUUAUUUUUUAUUUUUAACUUCCUUAAUAUUCAUAUAUUAUUCUAUUUCUCUAUUUCGUGUCUAAUAGUCAAGAUUAAUUAUGACAUCCAGCACCUAAGAUAAAUGUUCGCAUUAUAUACUUUCCCAUAUUUAAAUCUAAACUUGAAUUAUCCUUUUAAACCUUAUAGAUACGUUUUGUUAUCCAUUUAUCUAGUCCUUAUUUUAGCUAUUUCCUUGGUGUUAAUCGUAUUGAACGCGCUGUAACCUAUAUCUUUAUCUUGUGAUUUGAGCACGAAGAGUUUUAUCGUGUUGGGAAAUCUUUAUCUUGUGAUUUGAGCAAGAAGUUUAUUGGGUUGGGAAACAUGAGAAGUAACUAUAUAAAGAGGUGUCUUCUUCAAAGAGUAGAUCGAUGUUUGUUUUUGCUGAAUGCCGAGAGAAAGAUUGAGGAAGAGCUAGAGAGAGAGAGAGGAGAGUUUCUGGUUAGAGAGAGAGAGAGAAAGAAGAAGAUUGAGGAAGAGCUAAAGAGAGAGAG